AGCAAUGUCGGUCAAAGUCCCGUAGAGCUCCGACGGACGAUGUUUCAGAUUGAUUGCUUUUACAAGCACUUGAGAGCCUGAUCUUAGCCAGAUGUUGGUGUACCCGGACGAUACUGCACGUAGAAGAGCAGAGCGAACGGCAAACCCCUCCGCGAGGAGAGCUGAAGAGACUUGGUCUUGGAAUUGGGAGCCUCUCCCGAUCUCUGUGAGAUUCUGAUCAGUGAAGAGCCACCCUAAUCCUGCUGAUUUUGUAUCUCAUCUCCACGCUGCGUCUGUAUUGCAGAUUAGGGUUGUCGGCAAGAGCGUUGUUGGUGAAAUCGCAAGAGACGCUGUCACGUGAUUUGGCAGCGGGGUGAUUUUUGGUUGUGCAUCCUGAGCUGUCGUCCAUUCUCUUGCUGUGAUCACUAAUUUGCUUAGACAGUCUUGUAGGGAGAAAGUCAUGUUCUCGAAGAGUAGUUGGUUCCUAACAAUCCGCAGAUUCCACACUAUCCAAGGGAAUAGAUUGAUAUUUGUACCUACUGGUGGUAGGUUAAUGCGUUGAUAUGAAGCCACCAAUUUUUCUCCAAAGGAAAGAGCUUGGGUGAGAUUAGCUGGUGAGGACCAUGGUGCAAGUUCCCAUACUCGUUGAGCAAAAUGGCAGUGGAAAAAGAGAUGAAUGGUAGUCUCUUGUUCCCCACACCUAAUACAAUUAGUGUUUUCAUGUAGGCCUCUUUUCUGAAGGUUCUCACUUGUAGUUACCGCGUUCUGCAUUACUUUCCAAAGGAAGAGUUGGAUUUUCUGGAGUAGUUGCGCCUUCCAUAUCAUUUUAUUCCAGUUGAAGUUUGUUGGAACCGUAUAGUUUGCGGGCAAAGCUGUUGUGUGCAAUCGUUGUGAUAGGUAUCCAGAUUUUGAAGUAUACGUACCCGAUUUGUCGAGUAGCCAGGAGUACGAGUCUUCAGCUCCUAUAGUACUCGGGCGGAGGAGUAGAAUUUCUUCUACCAGAGUAGGGAAUUGCUUUUCAAGAGCUUAUCUGUUCCAAAUUCAUGUUUCUCUGGAGAGUACAUCUGCAACCACUAGGUCCUUUGCGUCUAAGGUUGUUGGUCCUAUUGCUGCUUUUGGCGUCGAUACAGACAACCAUCGGUCAUGUCAUAGCUUUGUAGAGUUGUCAUUUCUGAUCACUAUGCCUAAGUGUUGGAUGAGAAUGUCUCUGCCUUCAAGUAUCCCUCUCCAGCCAUGCGAAGGCGAGGAGCUACAUGAUACUUUCAGGAAGGCGUUUGCGUGGCAAUACUUUCCUAGCAAAAUCCUGGCUAGCAGACAAUUAGGAUUGAGACCUACAGGUAAUAAGAAGCAUGACAUAGCGAAGGUGGGAGUGGCAGUGAGGACUGACUUCAGCAUAGUGAAUUUCCCUGCUGGAGACAAUUAGCGAGUCGACCAGCUGAUAGCUUUCUGUUUAAUGCGGUUGUCUAUAGACGAGAAGAGGUCUCUCUUCUUCCUACCAAAGAGCUCAGGGAGGCCAAGGCAACUGGUGGGAUCGGAUCUCGUGAAGAACAUGGUAUCAUCAGCGAAGAGAAAAUGGUUUAUCCUAGGGAAGUGGCGAGCAACUCUGAUUCCUGCUAUCUCCAUGUUUGUUUGAGCUUUCCGACAGAGUCCUGACAGUACUUCAGCGCACAGAAUGAAGAGAUAUGGGGAGAUAGGGUUACCUUGUCGGAUCCCUAGAGAAGAUGAGACAGUUUCCCAGUUUGAGUGAUAGAAACUCGAGGAGAAACCAUCGGGCCCUGGCGUUUUAUCCGGGUGUAUAGAGAACAUAGCAUCCUUGAUCUCUAUAGCAGAUGGAAUGGAGAUGAGUCCAUCGUUUAACUCCUUGGUUAUGCAAGGUUCGAUGGCUUGGUUUACUGUAUCGGUGCAGUCAGGGCCGGAGGAUGUGAAGAUAGUACAAAAAUAUAGAUUGAUCUGAUCCAAGAUCUAUUCUUUUUUGUACACAGCUUCUCCUUCUUCGUUUUCCAAAACGUAUUCUUCUUCCGCUCUGUAGGCCUCAAGUAGUUCUUUGUUGAUGGUUGUGAUACGCAUUUCGUCUUCAGUGGCUCGUGACAUUUCGACGUCCAAAUCUCCUUUGAGAGACUCAAUCUUCUUCUUCCUGUUUACAUAGUGUAUGUGUUGUGUUUUUCAAGGUUUUUUUCGUAGGUCCCAAAUAGCGUAAAUUCGUAAAUAAAAUAUCUUAUAUUCAAAGAGAUAAUAAUAAUAAGAAUAAAUUGGACUGAUAGUGAUGUCACAUGUAGAACAGUGAGAGGAAUAGCAGUUGUUCCACUUGUAGUAAUUUAUCAGUACAAUAAAUAUUCAAAUUGAUAUCUGUUUUGUGAGUCAA